AUGUUGAUCUGUUUAACUGGUGGCAGUUUUGCAAAUGUCAUCACACCAGUCCAGACUGAGGUUUAUAAGAAAGAGGGAGAAAAUGUUACUCUGUCCUGUAGCUACUCCUCAGCGUCUACACUGCAGUGGUAUCUCCAAUAUCCCGGAUCAGCUCCUGAAUUUCUUAUGCUUAUUCUACACUCUACCGGAAAGGUUUCACAAAUGUCAGAAAUUGUGGAUCGAGAUCCUCGAUUCUCUGGGAAAGUGAAUGAAGAGAAAACCCAUGUGGAUCUGGAGAUCUCCUCUGCUAAACUGACAGAUUCUGCUCUGUACUACUGUGCCCUGACGCCCACAGUGACAGGAAACACAACAACACUGUACAAAAACCCUCCCAACAGUGAUACUGUAGUUGAAUGUACCAUACACUGCACAUCUUCAUAA